AAUGCAAGUGGCCUUAUCGCUCCAUAAUAUUAUGGGGAGGAAAGUCCGGGCAACACAGGGCGUCGUACUUCCUAACGGGAAGGCUUCUGAGAGGUUAAGCGAUCAGAAGACAGAAAGUGCCACAGAAAAUAUACCGCUUCCUUUGGGAGUAAGGGUGAAAUGGCGAGGUAAGAGCUCACCGCGUUCUGAGUGAUCAGAAUGGCAGGGUAAACCUUACGAGUUGAAAGACCAAAUAAGCAGGCGCAGCCAGCCUUGGCUGGCGAAAGGGCUGCUCGUCUGAGUCUGCGGGUAGGUCGAUGGAGCUUUUUUGCAAAAAAGGGCCUAGAUAAAUGAUGAGGGUUCCAGCUUGCUGGAAAACAGAACCCGGCUUAUAAACUUGCAUUUUCU
rnacentral:RNase_P_RNA from 2 species